rnacentral:lncRNA from 1 species
AGCGUUUACUCCAUCAGUUCUCUGUGUCUGUGUGAGACUCUGUGUGUGUGUGUGUGUGUCUGUCUCUGUCUCUCUCUCUCUCUCUCUCCUUCCCCUCCCCCCGCCCAAUUUAUUUUUUUUGAAAUGCAGAACCGAGGGACCUGUUGGAACCGGAGUUGAGCCGCAGGGGCCAAAGAAAGACACCACUGGCCGCUGAGGGAGGAUGGCAUUUGAUUUCUAGAAAAUGGGAAAAGAAAGGAAUAGUUCGGGGUAGAGUGCUUGGGAAGGAAUGAAGCGAUUGCGUCCUGGUACUUGGCAUGUGUCUGCCAGUGUUUGGAGACCCACGACCAUCGCGUAAGGGCCGUCGUACUCAUGUGGCUGAAGGAAUGCUUGCCCUUCCGGAGCUUGGGGGAGGGGGGGAGCCGUGGAGAACCCAGGGAGAGAGCGAGACAUUUCAGGCUAUGGGCAAAGUCGGGGAAUCCAUGCCCAGGCUCCGUCCUCCUGCGUCUGAAGGAAGGUGCGUUCGUUUCCUGUUGCCCCAGGCUCGGAUGCUCAGUCCCGUGUUGGAAAACUGUCUGCAUUAGGUUUCUGUGCCUCACUGCUGCCUGGAAAAAGGAGGAAAAGUGGCCACAGAGAGCUUUAACGCGAAUGCACCUGUGCACAGGCGCGAAGGCCGAGGCCGGGGUCAUGAGAGGCAGAGGCAGAGGGGUACAGGGGCAGAGGGGCAGAGGCAGGGGGGAGAGGCACAGGCACAGGCAGAGGGAAGGGGCGCGCCUGGAUUAUCAGCACAGUCUCGUGCAUCACUGUUUUCCAGAGGACGAGAACUGUAGCACGAAUUGCCUGGGUCGACAUGUGAGGGGAAGAAGGACACAGUGUCAGGGUGAGGAAGAUCUGUGUUGGAGACGGGUGAGAUGAUUUCUCGGCUACUUUCGACUUUGAGUUUUCACGCACACAGACUCAGGAUUCAAGUGUUUCCUAAGAGCUCUUCCCCUCACUCCCCUCCUUCCUUCACCCCACCCAAUCCCAUCCCAUCCCUAUCCCACUCCAACACUUUCGUUUUUAUUUACUCCCCCAGCAAAGAAAAAUUUUCCUCCUCUCGUUAGUGGGAGGGAAGGAGAGAGAGAGAGAGAGAGAGAGAGAGAGAGAGAGAGAGAGAGAGAGAGAGAGAGAGAGAGAGAGAGAGCACACAGUGGGCGCUAUGGGGAAUGACAUUGGGUGUCCUGUCAUCCAGCUACCAAGAGGAAAAAAAAAAAAUAAAGUGCGUGUGUAUGAAGGAGAAGCCUUCA